rnacentral:lncRNA from 1 species
CCAUGGUCGAAAAUCGAAAUUUUGGGCCACCAGUUUUAAAGACGUCAUGAAACAUUUAAUCUUAACCGUCUACAUUUAUGUAGGUACGUCGAUCUAAUCUGAACUGUUCAUUUCGUUGUUUGAUAUUUUUUUCAAAUAAUUUUGGAAAUAUGAUUAUAUGCUUAUAUGAUAUGUGAUCUUAAGAUCUUUCUAAUGACUUUUAUUCAGUAAGACCAAUAUAAUAUGCUUCUUGCUAACUGUCGAUACCUUAAAUUAUCGAACCCGAAAUCAAUCUUUUAGCCCAUCACAAGGAGGAAGUCUGCAGAACAAGGUAGAUCGGCUCGCGUGUACGACAACCCAUAUGUCGCCUUGCUCAGGCGACUGCUGACGAUGUUCCGAAUUAGGAGGAUCAAGCCAAUCACUCAGACUUAAGAAGGCAUGGUCGCACAAGAUAAGUUGGAGCGACCCGCGGCCACUAACCCUCACACCGACUUGUCUAGGCGACAAGUGAGGCGUGAGAGAUGGAUCGCACAACAUAGAGUCCUAGAGGGCCCAUGAAGUCUAGGCAUGCCAAAGUAGGCUAAAUAGGACCUUAGGGUGUCCGUCGAUUUUUCGGAGAAAGAAGAGAGUAUAGUUUGUUUUCGAAUCUCGUUAUAUACGUAUUUUCAUUAAAAUUUUACUAAAAACCUUUCAACUGCAUCUCAGCUGGAUGAUAGUUUUUUUUGUAAUGGAUUUCAUGAGAUUAACUAAACUCUAUAUCCUAAAUGAUCUAAGUAAAAAGCAAAAGAAAGAAGAAG